rnacentral:rRNA from 1 species
AGUCGAGCGGUAACAGGAAUUAGCUUGCUAAUUUGCUGACGAGCGGCGGACGGGUGAGUAACGCGUAGGAAUCUGCCUGGUAGUGGGGGACAACAUGUGGAAACGCAUGCUAAUACCGCAUACGCCCUACGGGGGAAAGGAGGGGAUCUUCGGACCUUUCGCUAUCAGAUGAGCCUGCGUGAGAUUAGCUAGUUGGUGGGGUAAAGGCUCACCAAGGCGACGAUCUCUAGCUGGUCUGAGAGGAUGAUCAGCCACACUGGGACUGAGACACGGCCCAGACUCCUACGGGAGGCAGCAGUGGGGAAUAUUGGACAAUGGGCGCAAGCCUGAUCCAGCCAUGCCGCGUGUGUGAAGAAGGCCUUCGGGUUGUAAAGCACUUUCAGAGGUGAGGAAGGGUGUGUAGUUAAUACCUACAUAUCUUGACGUUAGCCUCAGAAGAAGCACCGGCUAACUCUGUGCCAGCAGCCGCGGUAAUACAGAGGGUGCGAGCGUUAAUCGGAAUUACUGGGCGUAAAGCGCGCGUAGGUGGUUUGUUAAGUCGGAUGUGAAAGCCCAGGGCUCAACCUUGGAAUUGCACCCGAUACUGGCAAGCUAGAGUACGGUAGAGGGGUGUGGAAUUUCCUGUGUAGCAGUGAAAUGCGUAGAUAUAUGAAGGAACAUCAGUGGCGAA